rnacentral:rRNA from 1 species
GAUGAACGUUGGCGGUGUGCCUAAUACAUGCAAGUCGAACGGAGACUGUAGCAAUACUGUCUUAGUGGCGAACGGGUGAGUAACGCGUUGGUGAUCUGCCUCGAAGUGUGGAAUAACCUCCCGAAAGGGAAGCUAAUACCGCAUAGUCUCUCAAGGUUUAGAAAAUUGAGAGUAAAGGAUUUAUUCGCUUCGAGAGGAGCCUGCGUCCCAUCAGCUAGUUGGUAGGGUAACGGCCUACCAAGGCAAUGACGGGUAGGGGACCUGAGAGGGUGGCCCCCCACAAUGGAACUGAAACACGGUCCAUACACCUACGGGUGGCAGCAGUAGGGAAUAUUGGUAAUGCGCGAAAGCGUGAACCAGCAACGCCGCGUGUGCGAUGAAGGCCUUCGGGUUGUAAAGCACUUUUCGGGAGGAAGAGGAAGGACUGUACUCCCAGAAUAAGCCUCGGCUAACUACGUG